rnacentral:lncRNA from 1 species
AUGAGACUCAAGGAUGACAAGAAGAAUAAAGAUGCCAGAAAGCUAGCUAAGAAAGACAAAGACCCAGGGAACAAACUUGGCAAGGCCAAAAAGAAGAGGUGGUCCAAAGGCAAAUUUUGGGAUAAGCUCAAUAACCUCAAUUUGUUUGACAGAGCAACGUAUGACAGACUCUAUAAGGAAGUUCCCAACCGCAAGCUUAAAACUGCAGCUGUGGUCUCUGAGAAACAAGAUCUGUAGUUCCUUGGCCAGGGCAGCCCUUCCGGAGCUUCUUAGUAAAGGACUUUUAAAACUGGUUUCAAAGCACAGAGCUCAAACUAACUUAUACCAGAAACACCAAGAGUGGAGAUGCCUCAACUGCUGGUGAAGAUCUAUAA